rnacentral:rRNA from 2 species
GCGGCAACAGCUCAAAUUUGAAAUCUGGCGUCUUUGGCGUCCGAGUUGUAAUUUGCAGAGGGCGCUUUGGCAUUGGCAGCGGUCCAAGUUCCUUGGAACAGGACGUCACAGAGGGUGAGAAUCCCGUACGUGGUCGCUAGCCUUUACCGUGUAAAGCCCCUUCGACGAGUCGAGUUGUUUGGGAAUGCAGCUCUAAAUGGGAGGUAAAUAUCUUCUAAAGCUAAAUACUGGCCAGAGACCGAUAGCGCACAAGUAGAGUGAUCGAAAGAUGAAAAGCACUUUGGAAAGAGAGUUAAAAAGCACGUGAAAUUGUUGAAAGGGAAGCGCUUGCAGCCAGACUUGCCUGUAGUUGCUCAUCCGGGUUUUUACCCGGUGCACUCUUCUAUAGGCAGGCCAGCAUCAGUUUGGGCGGUUGGAUAAAGGUCUCUGUCAUGUACCUCUCUUCGGGGAGAACUUAUAGGGGAGACGACAUGCAACCAGCCUGGACUGAGGUCCGCGCAUCUGCUAGGAUGCUGGCGUAAUGGCUGUAAGCGGCCCGUCUUGAAACACGGACCAAGGAGUCUAACAUCUAUGCGAGUGUUUGGGUGUCAAGCCCGAGCGCGUAAUGAAAGUGAACGGAGGUGGGAACCUUUCGGGGUGCACCAUCGACCGAUCCUGAUGUCUUCGGAUGGAUUUGAGUAAGAGCAUAGCUGUUGGGACCCGAAAGAUGGUGAACUAUGCUUGAAUAGGGUGAAGCCAGAGGAAACUCUGGUGGAGGCUCGCAGCGGUUCUGACGUGCAAAUCGAUCGU